AAUUAUCACAUAAUCAAUCAUCCACAAAAUACACCAAACAUAUAGUUUCACGUCGUCUCGGACAAUACCAAAACAUCAACAAACAUCAUAUAACUCAAUUACAACUAGGAAUAUACAUAAAGUUCCUAAUGUAAUCUAACACCACAAAUACAUUGUUCAGAUUAUGGUCAUGACGGACCCUGCGUUGUUCAUUUUAUAGUCAUGACGGACUCUGCUCCUCACAUACGGA
rnacentral:lncRNA from 1 species